CCCUGGGAAACUCAUCUUUAAAGCUUAUUUUGGUAAUGAAUUUAAGGUUUUGCAUAAAUGGAACAGCACUCACUAGCAAGCUUCAUCUAAGAGUGUACAAUUACCAAGUCUAUAUGUUUUUACAAGAAAAAUGAACUACCUUUCAGCAACAUCAUUAAAUAUAAUAAUUUUUUUGAAUUGCACCGGCAACCGAAAUUUCAAAUUUUUAGUCCAC
rnacentral:lncRNA from 1 species